rnacentral:rRNA from 1 species
AGAGUUUGAUCCUGGCUCAGGAUGAACGCUAGCGACAGGCUUAACACAUGCAAGUCGAGGGGCAGCGGUGGUGAAGGCUUGCCUUUACCAGCCGGCGACCGGCGCACGGGUGAGUAACACGUAUGCAACCUGCCUGCCACAGCCGGAUAAUCGGGAGAAAUUCCGUCUAAUACGGCAUAAUGCACCUAUGGGACAUCCUGUUGGUGCCAAAGGUUAAUUCCGGUGGCGGAUGGGCAUGCGUCGCAUUAGUUAGUUGGCGGUGUAACGGACCACCAAGACGACGAUGCGUAGGGGUUCUGAGAGGAAGGUCCCCCACACUGGUACUGAGACACGGACCAGACUCCUACGGGAGGCAGCAGUGAGGAAUAUUGGUCAAUGGGCGGGAGCCUGAACCAGCCAAGUCGCGUGAGGGAUGACGGCCCUAUGGGUUGUAAACCUCUUUUGCCGGGGAGCAAAGUGCCGCACGUGUGCGGUUUGGAGAGUACCCGGAGAAAAAGCAUCGGCUAACUCCGUGCCAGCAGCCGCGGUAAUACGGAGGAUGCGAGCGUUAUCCGGAUUUAUUGGGUUUAAAGGGUGCGUAGGCGGACGCUUAAGUCAGCGGUAAAAUUGCGGGGCUCAACCUCGUCGAGCCGUUGAAACUGGGUGCCUUGAGUGGGCGAGAAGUACGCGGAAUGCGUGGUGUAGCGGUGAAAUGCAUAGAUAUCACGCAGAACUCCGAUUGCGAAGGCAGCGUACCGGCGCCCAACUGACGCUGAAGCACGAAGGCGUGGGUAUCGAACAGGAUUAGAUACCCUGGUAGUCCACGCAGUAAACGAUGAAUGCUAGUUGUC